rnacentral:rRNA from 1 species
AUUGAACGCUGGCGGCAGGCCUAACACAUGCAAGUCGAACGAGUGGCGGACGGGUGAGUAAUGUUUGGGAAUCUGCCUUAUGGAGGGGGAUAACUACUGGAAACUGUGGCUAAUACCGCAUACCAUAGGAUGAGCCCAAGUGGGAUUAGCUAGUUGGUGGGGUAAAGGCUCACCAAGCCGACGAUCUCUAGCUGGUCUGAGAGGAUGACCAGCCACACUGGGACUGAGACACGGCCCAGACUCCUACGGGAGGCAGCAGUGGGGAAUAUUGCACAAUGGGGGCAAGCCUGAUGCAGCCAUGCCGCGUGUAUGAAGAAGGCCUUAGGGUUGUAAAGUUCUUUCGGUAGGGAGGCGUUAACUACAGAAGAAGCACCGGCUAACUCCGUGCCAGCAGCCGCGGUAAUAC